GACGAACGCUGGCGGCGUGCCUAAUACAUGCAAGUAGAACGCUGAAGGAGGAGCUUGCUUCUCCGGAUGAGUUGCGAACGGGUGAGUAACGCGUAGGUAACCUGCCUGGUAGCGGGGGAUAACUAUUGGAAACGAUAGCUAAUACCGCAUAACAGUAGAUGUUGCAUGACAUUUGCUUAAAAGGUGCAAUUGCAUCACUACCAGAUGGACCUGCGUUGUAUUAGCUAGUUGGUGAGGUAACGGCUCACCAAGGCGACGAUACAUAGCCGACCUGAGAGGGUGAUCGGCCACACUGGGACUGAGACACGGCCCAGACUCCUACGGGAGGCAGCAGUAGGGAAUCAUCGGCAAGGGACGGAAGGCUGAACGAGCAACGCCGCGGGAGGGAAGAAGGGUUUCGGAUCGUAAAGCUCUGUUGUAAGAGAAGAACGAGUGUGAGAGUGGAAAGUUCACACUGUGACGGUAUCUUACCAGAAAGGGACGGCUAACUACGUG
rnacentral:rRNA from 1 species